GAAAUUGAUUUUGACCCAACUUCGCCAAAAAUAUCUUGCAUGGGACAUAUCACGUACAAGAAUAAACCGAUCAAAAAAGGAAAAGGUGUAGAGGAAAAGGAGCAUGUUACCACGUUUCGAAGAAUGUUUUUAAAUGCGAGGAAGAAGCAAAAAAGGAGGGAAUGAAAAAAUGUGAUGCAUACAGAAAUUGAUCAAGAAAGUGUAUGUUUGGAUAAAUUGUAUGUUUGGAUUUUCGAUGACUAGCUAAAAUCGAUUCUAGUUUUAAUUAUUAUUUUGUUUUUCUAAUUAAUUUUUAAGUUUUUGAUCUUUUAAUAAGUUUAUCUCCGUUAGUCAAAACGGUAUUUUUUGUCUAUUUUUAACAUGAAAUAUAUAAGGUGGACCAACAUUGU
rnacentral:lncRNA from 1 species